AAGACAACAGCUGUUAAUGAGUGCAGUUUGCUGGCAAGUUUGUGGCCCUGCACCCGCAACUUUUACCAAGGAGUCAUUGUUCUCAAUCCGAGUGCAACUCCACUCGCAAUUUACGCAUCUGGCACCCCGCAAUCGCUGCUGACGCCCGCUUAGUUAAUAUUGGCCAAGUUUAUGGCAAGUGGAAAAGUUUAGCUCGAGCACCCACCUCCCGUCCCCCUACCACUCACACUUUCAGAUUCUAGAUCCUAACUCCUAACUCCUACCAAGUGGCUGCAAGUGAUAUGGGUAGCACUAUUGAUUUACCGUUGCUCAAAGCCAUCUUCUGACUAGACCCGCUGACGCUAAAGCCCUGACAUCAGACGUCGCGCCGAUGUCGCUGUCGCUGGCCAUUCCCCCGCUCUCCGCUCUUACAGCACAGUCGUGGCCGUCGCCAUGUCUGCUGCCAGCAGCGAACGGAAACGGAAGUCGGAGCAACUGAAGCGGACUCCAAGGACACUCGCGCAUCGAAGCGCUGAUGCCCUGCGGCAGUGGAAUAAGUUAAAUCGCAAUUUUGGCCGAACAGUGCAAGCU
ensembl:ncRNA lncRNA:CR44481 long non-coding RNA:CR44481